AUUGAACGCUGGCGGCAUGCCUUACACAUGCAAGUCGAACGGCAGCACGGGAGCAAUCCUGGUGGCGAGUGGCGAACGGGUGAGUAAUAUAUCGGAACGUGCCCAGUCGUGGGGGAUAACGUAGCGAAAGCUACGCUAAUACCGCAUACGAUCUAUGGAUGAAAGCGGGGGAUCGCAAGACCUCGCGCGAUUGGAGCGGCCGAUAUCAGAUUAGGUAGUUGGUGAGGUAAAGGCUCACCAAGCCGACGAUCUGUAGCUGGUCUGAGAGGACGACCAGCCACACUGGGACUGAGACACGGCCCAGACUCCUACGGGAGGCAGCAGUGGGGGAAUUUUUGGACAACGGGCGCAAGCCUGAUCCAGCAACGCCGCGUGCAGGAUGAAGGCCUGG
rnacentral:rRNA from 1 species